AUUGAACGCUGGCGACAUGCCUUACACAUGCAAGUCGAACGGCAGCACGGGUGCUUGCACCUGGUGGCGAGUGGCGAACGGGUGAGUAAUACAUCGGAACAUGUCCUGUAGUGGGGGAUAGCCCGGCGAAAGCCGGAUUAAUACCGCAUACGAUCUACGGAUGAAAGCGGGGGACCUUCGGGCCUCGCGCUAUAGGGUUGGCCGAUGGCUGAUUAGCUAGUUGGUGGGGUAAAGGCCUACCAAGGCGACGAUCAGUAGCUGGUCUGAGAGGACGACCAGUCACACGGGUAGUGAGACACGGCCAAGACUCCGAGGGGAGGCAGAAGGGGGGAUUUUUGGAGAAGGGGCAAAGGCGUGAUCGAGCAAUGCCGCGUGGGGGAAGAAGGCCUUGGGGUUGUAAAGCACUUUUGCCGGAAAAGAAUCCUUGGGCCCAAAUAGGGGCGGGGGAGGAGGGUACGGAAAGAAAAACACCCGGCUAACCACGUG
rnacentral:rRNA from 1 species